rnacentral:rRNA from 1 species
UAGGGAAUCUUCCGCAAUGGACGCAAGUCUGACGGAGCAACGCCGCGUGAGUGAAGAAGGAUUUCGGUUCGUAAAACUCUGUUGUUAGAGAAGAACAGCGCAUAGAGUAACUGUUAUGCGUGUGACGGUAUCUAACCAGAAAGCCACGGCUAACUACGUGCCAGCAGCCGCGGUAAUACGUAGGUGGCAAGCGUUGUCCGGAUUUAUUGGGCGUAAAGCGAGCGCAGGCGGUCAAUUAAGUCUGAUGUGAAAGCCCCCGGCUCAACCGGGGAGGGUCAUUGGAAACUGGUUGCAGUGAGUGCAGAAGAGGAGAGUGGAAUUCCAUGUGGAGCUGUGAAAUGCGUAGAUAUAUGGAAGAACACCAGUGGCGAAGGCGACUCUCUGGUCUAUAACUGACGCUGAGGCUAGAAAGCGUGGGUAGCAAACAGG